CUACGGGGGGCUGCAGUGGGGAAUUUUGGACAAUGGGCGAAAGCCUGAUCCAGCCAUGCCGCGUGAGUGAAGAAGGCCUUCGGGUUGUAAAGCUCUUUCAGUCGGAAAGAAAAGGUUGCGGUGAAUAUCCGCAGCUGAUGACGGUACCGGCAGAAGAAGCACCGGCUAACUACGUGCCAGCAGCCGCGGUAAUACGUAGGGUGCGAGCGUUAAUCGGAAUUACUGGGCGUAAAGCGUGCGCAGGCGGUUGCACAAGACAGAUGUGAAAUCCCCGGGCUCAACCUGGGAACUGCGUUUGUGACUGUGCGACUGGAGUACGGUAGAGGGGGGUGGAAUUCCUGGUGUAGCAGUGAAAUGCGUAGAUAUCAGGAGGAACAUCGAUGGCGAAGGCAGCCCCCUGGACCUGUACUGACGCUCAUGCACGAAAGCGUGGGGAGCAAACAGGAUUAGAUACCCUAGUAGUC
rnacentral:rRNA from 1 species